rnacentral:rRNA from 1 species
AUAAACGCUGGCGGCGUGCAUAAAACAUGUAAGUCGAACGAGUGGAAGCCGCAAGGCUGAAGCGAGUGGCGGACGGCUGAGUAACGCGUAGGUGACUUGCCCGGAAGUGGGGAACAACGAUUCGAAAGAAUCGCUAAUACCGCAUACGGUUGUGCGUAUAGACACGUGCAACGAAAGCUCGCAAGGGCGCUUCUGGAGAGGCCUGCGUCCGAUUAGCUAGUUGGUGGGGUAACGGCCUACCAAGGCUCCGAUCGGUAGCUGAUCUGAGAGGAUGAUCAGCCAGACUGGGACUGAGACACGGCCCAGACUCCUACGGGAGGCAGCAGUUAGGAAUUUUGCACAAUGGGGGAAACCCUGAUGCAGCAACGCCGCGUGGGUGAAGAAGGCCUUCGGGUCGUAAAAUCCUUUUCAACGGGAAGAAACGGACGGUACCGUUGGAAUAAGCAUCGGCUAACUACGU